GACGAACGCUGGCGGCGUGCCUAACACAUGCAAGUCGAGCGGGGAGGAGGAAGCUUGCUUCCGAAUCCUAGCGGCGGACGGGUGAGUAACGCGUGAGCAACCUGCCUCUUACAGGGGGAUAACGCAUCGAAAGAUGUGCUAAUACCGCGUAAGACCACAGCAUCACAUGGUGCAGGGGUCAAAGGAGCAAUCCGGUAAGAGAUGGGCUCGCGUCCGAUUAGCUAGUUGGCGGGAUAACAGCCCACCAAGGCGACGAUCGGUAGCCGACCUGAGAGGGUGAUCGGCCACAUUGGAACUGAGAUACGGUCCAGACUCCUACGGGAGGCAGCAGUGGGGAGUAUUGGGGCAAUGGGCGAAAGCCUGACCCAGCAACGCCGCGUGAGGGAAGAAGGGUUUCGGCUCGUAAACCUCUGUCCUAUGGGACGAAGAAGUGACGGUACCAUAGGAGGAAGCCCCGGGCUAACUACGUG
rnacentral:rRNA from 1 species